AUACAGAGGGUGCGAGCGUUAAUCGGAAUUACUGGGCGUAAAGCGCGCGUAGGCGGCUUGGUCAGUCGGAUGUGAAAGCCCCGGGCUCAACCUGGGCAUGGCAUUCGAUACUGCCAGGCUAGAGUAUGGGAGAGGGAAGUGGAAUUUCCGGUGUAGCGGUGAAAUGCGUAGAUAUCGGAAGGAACACCAGUGGCGAAGGCGACUUCCUGGCCCAAUACUGACGCUGAGGUGCGAAAGCGUGGGGAGCGAACAGGAUUAGAAACCCUAGUAGUCC
rnacentral:rRNA from 1 species